rnacentral:rRNA from 1 species
AUUGAACGCUGGCGGCAGGCCUAACACAUGCAAGUCGAACGAGUGGCGGACGGGGGUGUAAUGUCUGGGAAACUGUGCGAGGGAGGGGGAUAACUACUGGAAACGGUAGCUAAUACCGCAUACCAUCGGAUGUGCCCAGAUGGGAUUAGCGAGUGGGUGGGGUAACGGCUCACCUAGGCGACGAUCCCUAGCUGGUCUGAGAGGAUGACCAGCCACACUGGAACUGAGACACGGUCCAGACUCCUACGGGAGGCAGAAGUGGGGAAUAUUGCACAAUGGGCGCAAGCCUGAUGCAGCCAUGCCGCGUGUGUGAAGAAGGCCUUCGGGUUGUAAAGUACUUUCAGCGAGGAGGCGUUACUCGCAGAAGAAGCACCGGCUAACUCCGUGCCAGCAGCCGCGGUAAUUC